ACGAACGCUGGCGGCUGCUUAACACAUGCAAGUCGAACGGAGUGGCGAACGGGUGAGUAACGCGUGAGCAACCUGCCUAUGACAGUGGGAUAGCCUCGGGAAACCGGGAUUAAUACCGCAUAGUCAUAGAUGGGCUCGCGUCUGAUUAGCUAGUUGGUGAGAUAACAGCCCACCAAGGCGACGAUCAGUAGCCGGUCAGAGAGGAAGAACGGACACAUUGGAGCUGAGACACGGUCCAAACUCCUACGGGAGGCAGCAGUGGGGGAUAUUGCAAUAUGGGGGAAACCCUGAUGCAGCGACGCCGGGUGAACGAAGAAGGUAGUCGUAUCGGAAAGGUCUGUCCUAUGGGAAGCAGUACCAUAGAAGAAAGCUCCGGCUAAAUACGUGCCAGCAGCCGCGGUAAUAC
rnacentral:rRNA from 1 species